rnacentral:rRNA from 1 species
AUUGAACGCUGGCGGCAGGCCUAACACAUGCAAGUCGAACGGUAACAGGAAGAAGCUUGCUUCUUUGCUGACGAGUGGCGGACGGGUGAGUAAUGUCUGGGAAACUGCCUGAUGGAGGGGGAUAACUACUGGAAACGGUAGCUAAUACCGCAUAACGUCGCAAGACCAAAAAGGGGGACCUUCGGGCCUCUUGCCAUCGGAUGUGCCCAGAUGGGAUUAGCUAGUAGGUGGGGUAACGGCUCACCUAGGCGACGAUCCCUAGCUGGUCUGAGAGGAUGACCAUCCACACUGGAACUGAGACACGGUCCAGACUCCUACGGGAGGCAGCAGUGGGGAAUAUUACACAAUGGGCGCAAGCCUGAUGCAGCCAUGCCGCGUGUAUGAAGAAGGCCUUCGGGUUGUAAAGUACUUUCAGCGGGGAGGAAGGGAGUAAAGUUAAUACCUUUGCUCAUUGACGUUACCCGCAGAAGAAGCACCGGCUAACUCCGUG